rnacentral:rRNA from 1 species
UACGUAGGGUGCAAGCGUUAUCCGGAAUUAUUGGGCGUAAAGAGCUCGUAGGCGGCUUGUCGCGUCGGAUGUGAAAGCCCGGGGCUUAACUCCGGGUCUGCAUUCGAUACGGGCAGGCUAGAGUUCGGUAGGGGAGACUGGAAUUCCUGGUGUAGCGGUGAAAUGCGCAGAUAUCAGGAGGAACACCGGUGGCGAAGGCGGCUUGCUGGGCCUUACCUGACGCUGGAGGAGCGAAAGCGUGGGGAGCGAACAGG